rnacentral:rRNA from 1 species
UCUACGGGGGGCAGCAGUGAGGAAUAUUGGUCAAUGGGCGAGAGCCUGAACCAGCCAAGUCGCGUGAGGGAAGACGGUCCUAUGGAUUGUAAACCUCUUUUGUCUGGGAGCAAAAAGGCCUCGUGAGGCCACAAGUGAGAGUACCCGAAGAAAAAGCAUCGGCUAACUCCGUGCCAGCAGCCGCGGUAAUACGGAGGAUGCGAGCGUUAUCCGGAUUUAUUGGGUUUAAAGGGUGCGUAGGUUGUUUUUUAAGUCAGCGGUGAAAGUUUGUGGCUCAACCAUAAAAUUGCCGUUGAAACUGGAAGACUUGAGUGUGUUUGAGGUAGGCGGAAUGCGUGGUGUAGCGGUGAAAUGCAUAGAUAUCACGCAGAACUCCGAUUGCGAAGGCAGCUUACUAAGCCAUAACUGACACUGAAGCACGAAAGCGUGGGGAUCAAACAGGAUUAGAUACCCCAGUAGUC